AAUAAUAUCAAUAACAACAAAAAUGACUGGUUCAUUGUUAUUGCAAUACCAGGUGAUGCAUGAAUUGAAGAGAAACAGCUA